rnacentral:rRNA from 1 species
UACGUAGGGUGCAAGCGUUGUCCGGAAUUAUUGGGCGUAAAGAGCUCGUAGGCGGUUUGUCGCGUCUGCCGUGAAAGUCCGGGGCUCAACUCCGGAUCUGCGGUGGGUACGGGCAGACUAGAGUGAUGUAGGGGAGACUGGAAUUCCUGGUGUAGCGGUGAAAUGCGCAGAUAUCAGGAGGAACACCGAUGGCGAAGGCAGGUCUCUGGGCAUUAACUGACGCUGAGGAGCGAAAGCAUGGGGAGCGAUCCGG